UACAGGGGGUGCAAGCGUUAUUCGGAAUUAUUGGGCGUAAAGAGCGCGUAGGCGGUUUACUAAGUUUGGUGUGAAAGCCCUGGGCUCAAUCCAGGAAGCGCAUUGAAUACUGGUAGACUUGAGUAUUGGAGAGGCAGGCGGAAUUCCCGGUGUAGAGGUGAAAUGCGCAGAUAUCGGGAAGAACACCCGUGGCGAAGGCGGUUCUCUGGGACGGUACUGACGCUGAGACGCGAAAGCGUGGGGAGCGAACAGG
rnacentral:rRNA from 1 species